rnacentral:rRNA from 1 species
AUGAUCUGCAAAGAGUGUGAAAGAAAUUGGAGCGUUUUUGAACAAGUUGAUGCAAAGAGGAGAAAUAAAUUAGAUGUGCGUCGUAGGGACGAUCUAGUUUAUAUUCAAUUCAAUGGAAGAUUUCUAGACAAAAGAAAGAAAUACUCCUCAUCUUGUGAUGUUCUCCUUGGUGAAGAUGCUUCCACAGCCCAAGAUUGGAUAUGUGAAGAUGCUUACGAUGAUGAAGAGAUGGGAACUACCAGAGUUGACAAUACAACAGAGCCUCGUAGAAGUCUAAGGGUGAGAGAGCUCCAUGAAGUGGAAGACUUUGUUUCCAUUAAUGAAGAUGACACUGUGCCUAUCAAUGAAGAUGAGAUUGAGUUUGAGUUUGAUAAUGACAUGGUUGGGGGGAUAGAACAAAUUAUGAUGAGGAAGACCUGA